rnacentral:rRNA from 1 species
UACGAAGGGGGCUAGCGUUGUUCGGAUUUACUGGGCGUAAAGCGCACGUAGGCGGAUAUUUAAGUCAGGGGUGAAAUCCCGGAGCUCAACUCCGGAACUGCCUUUGAUACUAUUGGUCUUGAAUGUUGUUGAGGUGGGCGGAACGGGUCAUGUAGCGGUGAAAUGCAUAGAUAUGACCCGGAACACCGAUUGCGAAGGCAGCUUACUACACAGUAAUUGACACUGAGGCACGAAAGCGUGGGGAUCAAACAGG